CCUAACUCGUGCUCCUGGCCCUCCUUCCCUGUCUUGCCUGAGUUUCUGUUCUCAUUCAUAGAAUCAAUGACUAAACCCUCAGGAGCGAGCUUCUACCCAGCGGGCAAUGUUCCCUGACCAGGUCCUGGGAGGUUCCUGCGCUCACACCGCGUGUAUCCAGUGAAAGGUGGAAGCAGAAUCAGAAAAACAAACAGAAGCCCUAUGAUUGCCACUGUGGGCAAAUGCUGUGAGGGGACAAAAUAGGGUGUCAUGCUAGAUUGUUGGAGCUUCUUUAUAUGGACCUGUCAUCUUCAGAAGGCCUCAUGCGGAGGUGACAUUUUAAGGGACGGCCUAAAUGACAAGCUGGAUCAAGGGUGUGAAUGUCCAGAAGAGCCCUCCUGGAGGCCAGAGGACAAGUGCACCGGUAACUGUCAGCAACACAGCAGUAAAUAUCAACACGAAGCAGAUUAUUAUUGUAGAUCAUGCAGGGAGAACAAAAGUCGAGUCAAGUUUCUAAACUUUCUAAAUCUCC